UACGAAGGGGGCUAGCGUUGCUCGGAAUCACUGGGCGUAAAGGGCGCGUAGGCGGAUCUUUAAGUCGGGGGUGAAAGCCCAGGGCUCAACCCUGGAAUUGCCUUCGAUACUGAAGAUCUCGAGACCGGAAGAGGUAAGUGGAACUGCGAGUGUAGAGGUGAAAUUCGUAGAUAUUCGCAAGAACACCAGUGGCGAAGGCGGCUUACUGGUCCGGUUCUGACGCUGAGGCGCGAAAGCGUGGGGAGCAAACAGG
rnacentral:rRNA from 1 species